ACUCCUACGGGAGGCAGCAGUGAGGAAUAUUGGUCAAUGGACGCAAGUCUGAACCAGCCAUGUCGCGUGCAGGACGACGGCCCUAUGGGUUGUAAACUGCUUUUGUAUGGGAAGAAAGUUAGCUACGAGUAGCUAUUUGCCGGUACCAUACGAAUAAGGAUCGGCUAACUCCGUGCCAGCAGCCGCGGUAAUACGGAGGAUCCGAGCGUUAUCCGGAUUUAUUGGGUUUAAAGGGUGCGUAGGCGGACUGAUAAGUCAGUGGUGAAAUGCUGCAGCUUAACUGUAGAAUUGCCGUUGAUACUGUCAGUCUUGAGUACAGUUGAGGUAGGCGGAAUGUGGUGUGUAGCGGUGAAAUGCAUAGAUAUACCACAGAACACCGAUUGCGAAGACAGCUUACUAAAGUGUCACUAACGCUGAUGCACGAAAGCGUGGGUAUCAAACAGGAUUAGAUACCCUGGUAGUC
rnacentral:rRNA from 1 species